AAAAGCCCACAAUAUCUCAGAAGCCAAAUGUUGCUCCUCAUGUGCCAGAGGCAACAACAGAAUCAUCCAUGAGAAAUGAAGAUACAGUGCCAAAAGAUAUUCCUGAAGUAGAAGACAAUGAGGAAGAAGACGGUGUUGAGCAGGGGGAGCCACAGCCCGCUCUGCCAGAUGUUCCAGAACCAUCACAAGACUCAGAUGAUGGUGGAUCUCCUCAUAUUACGGUGUCGAGCAGGGGGGAGCCACAACCCGCUCUGCCAGAUGUUCCAGAACCAUCACAAGACUCAGAUAAUGGUGGAUCUCCUCAUAUUCCAGAAGUUCGUAGAUCUGAACGAGGUUGGAUUCCAUCGAGAAGAUAUCCAGAAUCCGAAUAUCUUCUACUUAUUGAAGAUGUAGAACCACAGAGUUUCCAUGAAGCAGUAUCUCAUAAGGACAAAGAACAGUGGUUGCUCGCAAUGCAGGACGAGAUGGAAUCUCUACAGAAAAAUCAGAAUUAUGAGAUCGUAGAACUUCCAAAAGGGAAGAAGGCACUGAAAAACAAAUGGGUGUUCAAGCUGAAGAAAGAUGGCAGUGGAAAAGUGGUGAAAUACAAAGCACGGUUGNN
rnacentral:lncRNA from 1 species